UACGAAGGGGCUAGCGUUGCUCGGAAUCACUGGGCGUAAAGGGUGCGUAGGCGGGUCUUUAAGUCAGGGGUGAAAUCCUGGAGCUCAACUCCAGAACUGCCUUUGAUACUGAGGAUCUUGAGUACGGGAGAGGUGUGUGGAACUCCGAGUGUAGAGGUGAAAUUCGUAGAUAUUCGGAAGAACACCAGUGGCGAAGGCGACACACUGGCCCGUUACUGACGCUGAGGCGCGAAAGCGUGGGGAGCAACAGG
rnacentral:rRNA from 1 species